rnacentral:rRNA from 1 species
ACACUCCUACGGGAGGCAGCAGUGAGGAAUAUUGGACAAUGGGUGGAAGCCUGAUCCAGCCAUCCCGCGUGCAGGAAGACGGCCCUAUGGGUUGUAAACUGCUUUUAUCUGGGGAUAAACCUACUUACGUGUAAGUAGCUGAAGGUACCAGAAGAAUAAGCACCGGCUAACUCCGUGCCAGCAGCCGCGGUAAUACGGAGGGUGCAAGCGUUAUCCGGAUUUAUUGGGUUUAAAGGGUCCGUAGGCGGACUGAUAAGUCAGUGGUGAAAUCCGACAGCUUAACUGUCGAACUGCCAUUGAUACUGUUAGUCUUGAGUAAGGUUGAAGUGGCUGGAAUAAGUAGUGUAGCGGUGAAAUGCAUAGAUAUUACUUAGAACACCAAUUGCGAAGGCAGGUCACUAAGUCUUAACUGACGCUGAUGGACGAAAGCGUGGGGAGCGAACAGGAUUAGAAACCCUGGUAGUCCC